GGUUGGUUGGAUUGUAUCGAUGGGGGUGGCUUAUGCUAAGGCAGGGUUAGUUUGGUUGUUGAACCAAAAUUGUCAUAGAAUUAUACCAGAAUCUUUCCAAUAAGCUUAAUGAUAAAGAGAACUCAGAGACAUAGAUAAUAGUGAGAAGCUAUGAGACUUUACUAAAUGAGUUUAAGUGCAAAGAAUUGUUUGCUAUGAGCUUUACCUCUAACUCCCUCUUUAUAAUUUUGGGUUAAGAACUUAAGAUUUAAGCGCUACAUGAUUAGCUACAAAUAAAGUCACAUGAAUAAGAAAACAAAAAAAAAGGUUAUGUUGAAGACAACUAGUUAUAAAAUACAUAAGUUGUGUAGCCUAAUUGAUGUGAAACAUAAGGUAUUGCAGGAAUUUAAUAAAAAUUUAUUAAAAUUGUUAAUUUUAAAAUUAAUGUUUCACAAGAUUAGAUUGUAGGAUUUCUUAGUUGUAGUUGUGCUUUGGCAUGAGAUUACAAGAAAGAUUAACAGGGCAAUUUAAAAUAACAACAAGAUUAUAGUAAGGCUAGGUGCAUAAGCAAUAGAAAUCCACAUGUUAGCAAAUAGAAAGUUCACCUUGAGUUCCCCCACUCUCACUCUUGAGGAUGUUCUAGCGGAAGAAUAAUUUUAGCAAACCUAAUGAUGCCACUAAAAGACAAAAAAUGCAUGCAGUAUUGCCCCACGAAAAGUUAGUCGGAGGAGGAGUCGGUGGAUGUCCAAUAACUUGUCACUGUUCGGGGGUUUGGUGCUCGUCGAUGGCGGUCGUCAAAGUGAAAAGAAUCCUAUCGACGUAGUCGUCAAUGGUGUGGUCGAUCUUCAAGUUGAGGUCAAAGAAGGGCGACUAUUCGUCCUUGAAGAUCAUCAUACACGAAUCCAUUGUUUCUUUCAGGAUCGGUCAUUCAUGGGGAGAAGGCCGGGUUGUGUAGCUUCUUCCUUGGAGCGUAUGAAAAUAAUGGAGAAGAGAAGAAGUGGAGGGGGAGGUUGGAGAGGUCGGCCAAGUUUGGGGAAGAGGCUUCUUUAAUUUCAGCUUUUGGUUUAUUUGGGUGGAGAGUCAAUAAAUUUAAAUAUGAAUUUUAAUUUUAGAUUUUGAAUGGAAAGGGAGGGAAUAAUUUUGAAAUUCAAAUCACCCUUAAUGGGAAAGUAAGUGGACGGCCAACCUUAAAGAAAGAGUGUUAAUUGAUAGUCUUAAUGGGGAGCAUUAAUUAAAAGAGAGGGAAUAGGGGGGUCGGCCAAAGAAGGGAGAGAAAAGGGUGUGCACAUUCGAUGUAUGUGGAUCCUUGCAUUAAUUAUUGAUUGGAGAAUUAAAUCUGAAUUAAUUUUAGAUUUGUGGUGAUGGGGAAACUUCCUAAAAUAUGAAAUUUUAAUUAAGAAAGAAUUCGAAAUUCAAAUUUCUUUGAAGUCGAAUUAGAAUACUUUCCAAAUCAAUAGGGGGCUACUUUAGGAAGGUAAUGAAUGUAGGGGAGCAAGGGAGGGCCGGCGGCUAGGGCUUGGGAAAGAGGGCUAAGGCCAGCGGCUAGGGGUGGAAAAGGAGGGAAAGUAGGCUUGGUCGGCGGCUUUUUGGUGGGGUUUGGCUGGCAGUAGUGGGGGAUUAGGUCAGCGGGUUUGGUGGAGGAGAAGAGUGGCCGGCGGUGUUGGAGGAGAAGGGGAAGGAGGCUUGGCUGACGGUUUAGGGUAGGUUUGUCAGCGGUAGGUGAGAAGAAAGGGUGGGGAAGGGGAAACCGAGAGCCUGAAUUCUUCCGGUAGCUGUCGGGUAUUGCUUUGACCCUCUCUUAGGAUUCUCUCCUCAAGAGUUCACAAAGAAACAAAGAACACGAGUUGAAAUUUCAUUCAUCAAUCAUUAUUUCAUACAAUAGGGACAACCAUCAUAUAUAGGCCUCAAAUAAAAGAAAAACACAAAGACUCAAAUGCCCUCGGGGCUACAACAUAAAAUAAUCCCUCUUGGGGAUACAGUGGUAAGCAAGAACAUAAAUAAAAAUAAAAUACAUAAAUGCAUCAUAAAUAAAGACUCCGAAUCGUAGCCGUCGAUUUAUGAUUCCUCCGAUGAUAUACAUGCCGAAAUCUUCUGCUGAUGUCCUCAUCACUAAUUACAUAUGAUCAUUUGCUAACUUCAAAUGAGUCUUUUGCUUAGUCUUUAGCUUGAUAAACAAAGACGCUUACUUGUAUGUAGGAAGUAAUACAUUUAUUUGAAGGUAGUCUUUGACUUGUCUGAAGGAAGUUUGCGGAUAACUUCUGGUUGUAAAUGAGUGUCCAAAUAUGACUGUCUGACUUCUCUAUGAGCUGGACAAGCUCUUUACGUGCUUAACGAUUUCACCCAGAAUCAGUGAUUCAAAAGUUAUAAAUAUGGCGAUGAAGCUUAUGUUUAAACGACACUCUCUUACACGAAAUAAGCUAUGAAGUCAGAUGCUUCUUCAGAAGAGAAUAAUAUAUGAAGAGGAUGGCAUUCGAAGAUGUUAAGGCAAAUAAAGUGACAAGAGACCCAAUUGAUUUAGUUAAGGAACUAAAUUUUCCUAGGUUACUUUCCGAACCAAUGGGUGAAUGCUCUUCUUUCCUUAUCAAGGAAUCUUUUCAAGUAAACUUCUAUUACUCCACCUGUAGAGUCAUGAUAAAAAAAUGAUUUUCUUAUUGUUGAAAUAAAAUUUUUAAAUUUAAAUAACUUUCUUGAUAUUAAAGUUUGGUGACUUUUGUGGUUCAUUCUUCUGUGAGUUAACUCAUCGAUAAAAAAGUAGAGGAAUGCCAAAUUGAUAUUGGCGAGGCAGCCAAUGCUGAACCAAGUUUGAUGUUGGUGAAAAGCUAUUAAUAAGUUGAGAACUGAUGUGGACUAAUUAAUUACUGAUGAGCUGAGAAUUGAUGUCGGCCUGAUUGUUGUUGAAGAUCUGAGGAUUGAUGCUAAUUAGUAGAGAUUAUUUUGCGUAGACAUCGGACACAGCUUAUCAUUCGGAGACGAAUCAGGUGCAGCCACAUCAUCCAGUACCGAGCUCGAUACCGAGCAGUACCGAGCCACGGUACCGAGUAGGGGGUGACGUGAUGCAUUUUCAUUGGGCUCUGGACGGCGUUCGGCGUCCAUAUAGAAUAAUUCAUUGUUAAUCAGACGGUUAUUUGUGUAUGAAGAACUUAUGUUGGUCAAUUGAGCACCAAGGAGCCAGAAUUAUUCCUUGUAGUUUUCAAAUGAAAGGUUUGCUUCAGUUGUGGAUUCUAAAGAAAAAUUGGAAGAUUGAUAUUUUGAUUUUUAAUGAAAAAAAUAUUUAUUAGUUUU